GAUGAACGCUAGCGGCAGGCUUAACACAUGCAAGUCGAGGGGUAUAGUUCUUCGGAGCUAGAGACCGGCGCACGGGUGCGUAACGCGUAUGCAAUCUACCUUUUGCAGAGGGAUAGCCCAGAGAAAUUUGGAUUAAUACCUCAUGGUAUGUGAGAAUGGCAUAAUUUUCACAUUAAAGUCACAACGGCAAAAGAUGAGCAUGCGUCCCAUUAGCUAGUUGGUAAGGUAAAGGCUUACCAAGGCAACGAUGGGUAGGGGUCCUGAGAGGGAGAUCCCCCACACUGGUACUGAGACACGGACCAGACUCCUACGGGAGGCAGCAGUGAGGAAUAUUGGACAAUGGGCGCAAGCCUGAUCCAGCCAUGCCGCGUGCAGGAUGACGGUCCUAUGGAUUGUAAACUGCUUUUGUACAGGAAGAAACACUGGUUCGUGAACCAGCUUGACGGUACUGUAAGAAUAAGGAUCGGCUAACUCCGUGCCAGCAGCCGCGGUAAGAC
rnacentral:rRNA from 1 species